rnacentral:lncRNA from 1 species
AGUCCAGCCGCAGGGGCCACCCGAACAGUCUCUCCUCCUCACAGAAGCCUGGAGCUGGGCAUCCAAGAAGAAGCAGCCUCAUUUGUUUUCUGGUGUCAUCGUAGGUGGCCACCUAUGGCUUUUGGGCUUUCGGCCCCUGAUUUUGGUCUACUCCAAUUGUAGAAAGACCUACAUAGUCAAUGAUAGGCCACCCUGCUUCCAGUUCUGUGAUAGAGAGGAAAGGCAUUGGGGAUACAGGGAACUCUUUCCCCUUCUCCAAUGGGCUCCUGAGGGCAAAGUUGGAGGCCAAUUGACCUUGGGGGAGAUGAUUGGUUGGAGAAGGGAACAGAGAUACUUGUACCUGGGUGACAGAGACCAAAAAGAAGAAUGUACUUCAUCUGGUUGGGCUGGAUUCCCUCUGAUAAGCCUUCCCAGUUGACUGAAAGAUGAGGCUAGGCUCUAGCAAGUUGAAGUCAAACCAGCUCCUUCAAGAAGCUUUGAGCAGAAUGAAGUGGGGAGGACCCAGCUUCCAGCCCAGGAAGCCCACUGUACCUGGAGCCAUCUGGGAUAAGACUUUGACCCAUGACUCCCAUAUCCACAGCCUGUCCAUCCUAGCCCAUCCCAGUUUAUCCUGUAUCAUUUGAGCUGGGAUUCCCACAUCCUCUGAGUUGGAAGUCCCAUCUCAAGUCUUCAAUAAAGACUCUUGAAUAUUGAAUCACA